rnacentral:rRNA from 1 species
AUUGAACGCUGGCGGCAGGCCUAACACAUGCAAGUCGAGCGGUAGAGAGAAGCUUGCUUCUCUUGAGAGCGGCGGACGGGUGAGUAAUGCCUAGGAAUCUGCCUGAUAGUGGGGGAUAACGUCCGGAAACGGACACUAAUACCGCAUACGUCCUACGGGGGAAAGUGGGGGCUCUUCGGACCUCACGCUACAAGAUGAGCCGAGGUCGGAUUAGCUAGUUGGUGGGGUAAAGGCUCACCAAGGCGACGAUCCGUAACUGGUCUGAGAGGAUGAUCAGUCACACUGGAACUGAGACACGGUCCAGACUCCUACGGGAGGCAGCAGUGGGGAAUAUUGGACAAUGGGCGAAAGCCUGAUCCAGCCAUGCCGCGUGUGUGAAGAAGGUCUUCGGAUUGUAAAGCACUUUAAGUUGGGAGGAAGGGUCGUUACCUAAUACGUGACGAUUUUGACGUUACCGACAGAAUAAGCACCGGCUAACUCUGUGCCAGCCGCCGCCGUAGGAC